rnacentral:rRNA from 1 species
GUUAGGUGGCAAAGCCGCUUGUCCGGAUUUUACUGGGCGUAAAGGGUGCGUAGGCGGACAAUUAAGUCAGAUGUGAAAUCCCAGGGCUCAACCUUGGGGCUGCAUUUGAUACUGGUUGUCUAGAGUGCAGGAGAGGAGAGUGGAAUUUCCUAGUGUUAGCGGUGAAAUGCGUAGAUAUUAGGAAGAACACCAGUGGCGAAGGCGACUCUCUGGACUGUAACUGACGCUGAGGCACGAAAGCGUGGGGAGCGAACAGGAUUAGAUACCCUGGUAGUCCACGCCGUAAACGAUGAGCACUAGGUGUCGGGGGUCGAACCUCGUGCCGCAGUAACACAUUAAGUGCUCCGCGCUGGGGAGUACGUCGACAAG